AUUAUUUACUACAUUAAAUAACCUCUAUUGGCUUCCUGCUAAAAUGCAUGCUAAUUUAUAUAACAUACAAUACCCUAAUUCUCUUUACUGCCUCCUCCUAGAAUGUUGACAGCUAUAUUAUAACGUAAGCUGCUGCAACGUAUUUCUGCAAUAUCCAUUGUUUCAUACGAUGUUGGUACUUAGAGGAAUAAGGUUAGUGUUAAUAUGGAAAUUGUUCAUACUUAUUUUUUCUCCAUAGGAAGGGGGAGGUAGAAAAGCAGGAGGAGAACCAUAACAAGAGAAAAAAGCGCUCCAGUCUCCGCUAUACCGGCAGGAAGCACUUUCAGCUCCAGUUUUAAGAAAAUUAAUUUUGAACACCUGGAGAGAUUGAUAAAAGAAGCCUCCCGGAUGUGAGAAAUCUGCUUUAGCAAAUAUGUUCUAUAUAUAUUUGAGACACAUAAUUGCAAACAUCCAAUAGCAUAACAACAAUUAACUAGAUACAUACAUUUUGGAAGGAGAAAAGACAUUGAAUA
rnacentral:lncRNA from 1 species